rnacentral:tRNA from 1 species
CUAAGGAUGGUUCUUCAGAAGCUUGCUUCUAUCGAACCGUUUUAGAAACAUCAGUGGCCAACGGUCGUCAGGAUCGUUGAGCUGCAUUGGCGGGAUUUCGCCGUCUACGUUUCUCUUUCUUCGCGGACGAACACGCGCUGGGGUUGCAAGCUGCAGAAUCCCCGGUCCUUAACAGGAUAUGCGUUAGGGGCUUGUAGCUCAGUUGGUUAGAGCGCGCGCUUGAUAAGCGUGAGGUCGGAAGUUCAAGUCUUCCCAGGCCCACCAUACUCAUCAAGUUAGCAUUCGUCUUCUGGUUACGGGGCCAUAGCUCAGCUGGGAGAGCGCGUGCUUUGCAAGCAUGAGGUCGUCGGUUCGAUCCCGUCUGGCUCCACCAGAUGGUUUGAUCACCGAGAUCUUACCGUCGUCCGCGAACAUCACUUCGCACUUACUAGUCUGGAUAGACAGUAAGCUGCGUGAUUUCUGACAUCGUAAAGAGGAGAUCGAUCCGAGUUGGAUCGUGCGGCAAGCAAUUGCCACGCGAGACUUCAUUAUCUCCGGAUCAUUUCGGCGCUCGUGCGUCUUUCAAGGUAGCUCACAAGGCUGCGCUUGAGGGACAAGCGAGUUGUAAAUGAUCCUUUUAGCGAAGCUUGACCGCCUCGCUAUCGGAACGAUCUUACGAAGCAAGCUGGUCUUUCUAAUCAUUGUCCGGCUGCAGAUAGCGUUCAUCGAGGGCGCGUGCCGCAAGGUAAUUCUGCAGACAACAUUCUGCCGAGUGUGUGGACAUUGAUAAUGAGAGC